rnacentral:rRNA from 1 species
CGCCCAUAGCCUUUAUUAUGGGUCAAGCCUGCCCACUGACAAGAUUCAACGGCCGCAGUACCCUGACUGUGCAAAGGUAGCAUAAUCAUUUGUCUUAUAAUUGAGGACUAGAAUGAACGGUUAAAUGCAGGCAUAGCUGUCUCUUUCGCAUCACUACAAAUUAAUUUAUUGGUUAAAAAGCCAAUAUCCCAUUAUUAGACGAGAAGACCCUAUUGAGCUUAAUUUAUAACUUUUAAGUUUUAAAAAUAAAAAUUUGGUUGGGGUGACAAAGGAGCUAUUUAAACCCUCCUAUUCUCGCUUUAAUUUAAACCUAUAAAUCGAUCCAUUCUUAAUGAUCAAAUAAUAAGUUACCAUAGGGAUAACAGCAUAAUUCUUUUCAAGAGCCCUAAUCGAAAAAAGAGUUUGUGACCUCGAUGUUGGACUAAGGUACAUUAAAGGCGCAACCGCUUCUAAUUAUAGUCUGUUCGACUAGUUUUCCUU